UACGUAGGGUGCAAGCGUUGUCCGGAAUUAUUGGGCGUAAAGAGCGUGUAGGCGGCUUGCCCAGUCCGCUGUGAAAGUCCAGGGCUCAACCCUGGAAUGCCGGUGGAUACUGUCGGGCUAGAGUCCGGAAUGGGCGAGUGGAAUUCCUGGUGUAGCGGUGAAAUGCGCAGAUAUCAGGAGGAACACCAAUGGCGAAGGCAGCUCGCUGGGACGUGACUGACGCUGAGACGCGAAAGCGUGGGGAGCAAACAGG
rnacentral:rRNA from 1 species